UCACACUGACUUAAAAAAAAAAAUCUCAGUUUACUUAAAAGUAAAUAGCUUUUUCUAUAAUUCUGGUUUGCUAAUUUAAUCCUAGUCUCCAGACCCUGGCUAAAUAAAUGCCCAUUUCUCCAGAUGGUCUCAAGAGUCUCUGGACAUCGUGGGGGCCCUUCCCUGUUGGUUGGAAGGUGCCUCAGGAAGAAGGGGGUGGAUUCUGAGUUGAGUCAAAACCUCAAAGACCCCUGAUGGGAAAAGCUCUCAAGUGACCACCGCUGUGGGCCAGAAUGCAAAACUGCAGGAACAGAACAUUCGCAGGAACAGAACACAGUCGUAUUAAGUGAUUUUCCCGAGCAGGAAGUGGCAUCUGGCCUGCGGUUCAGUAGGGGGAGGAAAGGGUGGGCGCACCUGCCCCUGGCUGGCGCACCUGCCAGGUAGCCCCACGCGGCACCGCGUGUGCCGAGCGCCCCUGAGGAUGGAAAGCCCCACGCGGGGCAGGUGGCACCCACCCUCCGAAGACGGGACGGGAUGGAGCGUUGAGCUUCGGGGCAGCUCCGGCCCGGCCCGCGCUGGAGACGCCCGCAUCUGCCAGGAUGGCGUCUCAUAGCCCUGGUGCUCACACAUGACGCCAGGAAGCCCCAGCAACAGUGACCGCCCAGGCUCUAGAAAAUAUUGGACGGGGUGGAUGAACACCCAAGUGCGCUCCAGGAGAAGGGAUUUGGCACCCCAAGGGGCUUUUAAAACGGUAAGCUUCUAGGGGUGUCUUUGCCCCCAAUAAUCCAUAGAAACAACAGUCAUCUAAAAAUAGUCUUGUUUUCUGUCCUAAGCUCCUUUUAACUUUGUUAGUCAUCACCAAUCCUAAAAUAAAACCCGUGU
rnacentral:lncRNA from 1 species